rnacentral:rRNA from 1 species
GACGAACCGUACGAACGUUAUUCGGAAUUACUGGGCUUAAAGGGUGCGUAGGCGGCGCAGUAAGUUGGGUGUGAAAUCCCUCGCUUAACCGAGGAAUUGCGCCCAAAACUACUGUGCUCGAGGGAGGUAGAGGUGAGCGGAACUUAGGGUGGAGCGGUGAAAUGCGUUGAUAUCCUAAGGAACACCGGUGGCGAAAGCGGCUCACUGGACCUCUUCUGACGCUGAGGCACGAAAGCUAGGGUAGCAAACGGGG